rnacentral:rRNA from 1 species
AGUGAACGCUGGCGGUAGGCCUAACACAUGCAAGUCGAACGGCAGCACAGGAGAGCUUGCUCUCUGGGUGGCGAGUGGCGGACGGGUAAGGAAUACAUCGGAAUCUACUUUUUCGUGGGGGAUAACGUAGGGAAACUUACGCUAAUACCGCAUACGACCUACGGGUGAAAGCAGGGGACCUUCGGGCCUUGCGCGAUUGAAUGAGCCGAUGUCGGAUUAGCUAGUUGGCGGGGUAAAGGCCCACCAAGGCGACGAUCCGUAGCUGGUCUGAGAGGAUGAUCAGCCACACUGGAACUGAGACACGGUCCAGACUCCUACGGGAGGCAGCAGUGGGGAAUAUUGGACAAUGGGCGCAAGCCUGAUCCAGCCAUACCGCGUGGGUGAAGAAGGCCUUCGGGUUGUAAAGCCCUUUUGUUGAGAAAGAAAUCCAGCUGGCUAAUACCCGGUUGGGAUGACGGUACCCAAAGAAUAAGCACCGGCUAACUUCGUGCCAGCAGCCGCCGCAG